rnacentral:rRNA from 1 species
CCUACGGGCGGCAGCAGUGGGGAAUAUUGGACAAUGGGGGCAACCCUGAUCCAGCCAUGCCGCGUGUGUGAAGAAGGCCCUCGGGUUGUAAAGCACUUUCAGUGAGGAAGAACGCCUGGUGGUUAAUACCCAUCAGGAAAGACAUCACUCACAGAAGAAGCACCGGCUAACUCCGUGCCAGCAGCCGCGGUAAUACGGAGGGUGCGAGCGUUAAUCGGAAUUACUGGGCGUAAAGCGCGCGUAGGUGGCUUGAUAAGCCGGUUGUGAAAGCCCCGGGCUCAACCUGGGAACGGCAUCCGGAACUGUCAAGCUAGAGUGCAGGAGAGGAAGGUAGAAUUCCCGGUGUAGCGGUUAAAUGCGUAGAGAUCGGGAGGAAUACCAGUGGCGAAGGCGGCCUUCUGGACUGACACUGACACUGAGGUGCGAAAGCGUGGGUAGCAAACAGGAUUAGAUACCCCUGUAGUC